UCCGUUGUAGUCUAGUUGGUUAGGAUACCUGGCUUUCACCUAGAUGACCUAGGUUCGAAUCCCAGUAAUGGAA